AAAUUGAAUCAGCUAUUGGACCUGGCAGUGCGGCACGUUGGACCAAGGUCUGUACGUGAACCUGACGGAAAGGAGCGUGCAGGAUGCUCAGAAGCUCAUCCUGAUGCAUGAGGUGGUGCAGCCAGUGACUGCAGUGCCCUCCUUCAUGGAGGACAACAGCCGCUUUUCGCACAUGGCCAUCGACGUGGUGCAGGGCAGGGACGUGCUCGUCCACAUCAUCUAUUAGGCCACAGCCCCACCACCAGUUAUGCAGGAAUGUGUGAAUUUGGGCGCCAGUGAAGAGAGGGGUUGACUUUGAGCCAGUUUUUACUGAGUGAUCCGAUGCUGGACACCCCUGCACUCUGACACUUGGACCUCUUCCUGAAGCAUCACCUGUGGGAAUGGCCUCCAGAUGUGCCAGGUGUGUGUGGAGCAGAACCAUGAGGAAAGAUCUCCUAGUUAGAGAUCCUGCCGUUUCAGAGGGCAGCAUUUUCGCAGAUCCAUCCGUGGCUUGUUACAGAGGACGGCUGUAGAAUGAUGGCUUGAAGGGAGAGGGGCUUCAAGGAGAAAGAGAAAAAACAGAAAGGCAA
rnacentral:lncRNA from 1 species